GGUCUCAAAUGCACUAAGAAAGCAGCUGGUUACCUCAUAAUAGUGAAGCAGCCGUAGCAACAGUGGGCAAAUCUUGUCUGGCAAGCCAGUGUUAGAGCACACAGUUUCCAGCACUGGGGUGAUACAUAAUAAUUUAGAGAAACUAUUCCGGAUUUAAUUGACUCCUGCUGCCUCUGUUAACCAUAUGGAUAUCCAUGAUUGGCACUACAAUGCUAUUCCUACUCCUUCUGGAAGCAAUGUUGAUGGUCAUGAUCUUCUUACUACUGGAAACCAUGGUGACUUCCAUGUUUUCUCCUACAACUAGUGACAAUGGUAAGGUAAGUGUUCCUUGUUUGCUAAUGUGUAGAAUGUUAUUUUACAAGAUAUAACCAACCAUUGGUAACUUAAGUUGAUAUGCAUAAUUCAUGCUGCCAAUGGUCCCCAGGCUGAUGUCAUUGAUUUCUGCUGCCUCUGUUAAUCCCCUUGAUGUCUAUGAAAGCACCUCCCAUGCAUUCCUAUUGGUUCUGUAAACCAUGUUGUUGCAUGUGGUCCUUAUUACCAAGGGAUAACAUCUUAAUUGCCAAGACUUCUCUGGCCACUUAUGACCAUAAUAAUGUAAGUGUUCUGUGUUGCCAACAUAAAGAAUGUAAAAAGAAUGUAAAUUUCAAAGAACUGAAAUACCAACUGAAACUAAGUUAAUAUCCGGAAUACUUGCUGUCCCCUCCAAACAAAUUGAAUUCAUCUACCCCCGCUGCAUCUUUUAAACAUGUGGAUUUCCAUGAGCAGACAUACCAUGCUAUUCCUACUAUUUUGGAAGUCAUGUUGAGGAGGAUUCUUUCUUGCCCAUGGAUCUGAUGUUCAUGUAUAUCACUGCCCUGUCACCUGAGACCAUGUAGCUGCUACAAGAGUUCUGUGUUGCCAACAUGAAGGAUGUUAAUUUUUUGAUAACAACUACCAGCAAGACCAUGUUGCUAUCCAUUUUACAUGAUGGUACCUGAAACCAUGUGGAUUUAAUUGAUCUCUGCUAACUGUUAACCAUAUGGAUGUUCAUGAUUGGUACUAUAAUUCUAUUCAUACUACUUUUGAAAGCAAUGUUUAUGCUCAUGAUCUUUUAAACCACCGGAAUACAUGUUGAUUGUCAUGAUCUCUCCUGCUACGAGUGAUCAUGUUAAUGUAAGUGUUCCUUUUUGCCAAUGAAUAGAAUGGCAAUUUAACCAACUUUUGUAAACUAAAUUGAUAUGCAUUAUUCAUGCUGACAUGUGCAGCCAUGCUGAUGUAAUUGAUCACUGCUGCCUCUCUUAACCCAAUUGAUGUCUAUGAAUGGACACAAAUGGAACACUUUUGACUCUGUAAGCCAUGACAAUGCAUGUAGUUUUGGUUCCAUGGGAUAGUAUCUUGAUGGCCAUGACCUCUCCAUGCCCUGAGGACCAUGUGAAGGUAAGCAUUGUAUGUUUCCAGCAUGAAGAAUAUAAAUUUCCAAAAACUGAAAUACUAACUAAACUAAGUUGAAAUAUAGAAUGCAUGCUACCAACAAGAGAGUUGAUGCCACUACCCUGCUGUGUCUGUGAAACAUGUGGAUAUCCAUGAGCGGACAUACAAUGCAAUUCCUACUAUUUCUGGAAGCCAGGUUGAUACCAGGGUUCUUCCUUGCCCAUGGAUCUGAUGUGGAGUUCUAUCUGUCAUACUACCUGAGACCAUGUUGAUCCAAGAGUUCUGUCUUUCCAACUUGAAGAAUGUUAAUUUCCCUGAUCUCAAUACCAAAGUAAACUAUGUGGCUAUCCUUUCUACAUGCUGCCACCUGAAUCCUUGAGGAUUUAAUUGAUCUCUGCUGCUUCAAUUACCCAUAUGGAUGUCCAUGACUGGAACUACAAUGCUAUUCAUAACAUUUUUGUUAACAUUGUUGAUGCUCAUGAUUUUUUUUUAACCACAAGAUAUCAUGUAGAUUUCUGUGACAUCUCCUGUUACAAGUGAUGAUGUUAAUGUAAGUGUUCCUAUUGGCAAUGUGUAGAAUGGUAAUUUCGAAUAUUUAACAAGCAUUGGUAACUACACAGAUAUCUGUAAUUCAUGCUGCCAUCUCCAACCAUGUUGAUGUCAUAGAUCCCUAUUGCCACUCUUAACCCUGUUGAUGUCUAUGAAUGCACCUGCAAUAAAUUCCUGUUGGUUCUGUAAGCCAUGUUAAUACACGUGUUCCUUGUUACCAUGGGAUAACAUCUUGAUUGCCAUCACCUCUCUGGCCCCAUAUUGAUGGAAGUGUGCUGUGUUGCCAACAUAAAGAAUGUAAAUUUCCAAGAACUGAAACUAAGUUGAUAUCCGGAAUAUUUGCUGUCACCUCCAAAUAAAUUGAAUUCAUUCAUCCCUGAUGCAUCUUUAAACGUGGAUGUCCAUGAGCAGACAUACCAUGCUAUUCCUACUAUUUCUGGAAGCAUGUUGAUGCCGGGGUUCUUUCUUGCCCAUGGAUCUGAUGGCGAUGUCUAUCUGUCCUGCUACCAGAGAUUAUGUUCUUUCUUUCUAACUUGAAGAGUGUUAAUUUCCCUGAUCUCAAAUACUAUAGUAAACUAUGUGGCUAUCUAUUUGACAAAUUACCACCUAGAAACCUGUGGAUAUAAUACAUCCCUGCUUCUGUUAUACAUAUGGAUGUCCAUGAUUGGGAGCAUAAUGAUAAUAGUACUAUUUCUGGAAGCAAUGUUGAUGCUACUUAUCAUCUUACCACUGGGCAACAUGUCGAAUUCAAUGAUCAGUCACUACCUUAAGGUUAGUGUUUGUUGUUGCCAAUGUAUAGAAUGGUAAUUUCCAAGAUUUACUUAACUUUUGGAAACUAAGUUGAUACACAGAAUUCAUACUGCCACCUGCAGCCAUGCUGAUGUCAUUGAUCACUACUGCCUUUGCAAACCAUAUUGAUAUUAAUGAAUGAAGCUUCCAUGCAUUCCUAUUGGUUCUGUAAGCCAUGUUGAUGCUUGUGGUCCUGGUUACCAUGGGAUAACAUCUUUGUGACAAUGAGUUCUUCAUUCCCUUUUCACCUUAAUUAUGUAAGUGUUUUGUGUUGCCAAUUUGUAGAAUGUAAUUUCCAAGAAUUGAAAUACUAUCAGAAACUGGGUUAAUACCCUGAAUACAUUCACCACCUCCAAACAAGUUGAGGUCUUUAAUCUCAGCUGAGUCUCUUAAACAUGUGCAUAUCCAUGGUUGGAAGGGCAAUGCUAUCCCUACUCCUUCUGGAAUCAAGGGUUAUGCUCAUGAUCUUCUUACCACUGGACACCAUAUUGAUUUCCAUGAUCUCUCCUACUACAAGUGACAAUAUUAAGGUAAGUGUUUCUUUUUUGGCAUUAUAUAUAGAAAAGUAAUUUCCAAGAUUUAAUGAACCUUUGGUAACAUAGUUGAUAUCUGUAAUUCAUGCUGCCACCUGUACCCAUGCUGAUGUCAUUGACCACUGCUGCCUCUGUUAAACUUUUUGAUUUCUAUGAAAGGGCCUGACAGGAAUUCCUAUUGUUUCUGUAAGCCAUGUUGAUUCAUAUGGUCCUUGUUACCAUGGGAUAACAUCUUGAUUGCCAUGACCUCUCUGGCCCCAUAUGACCAUACUAAUUUUAGUAUUCUGUGUCACCAACAUAAAGAAUGUAAAUUUACAAGAACAAUAAUAUAAACUGAAACUAAGUUCAUAUCUGGAAUACUUGCUGUCACCUCCAAACACAUUGAAUAUAUUCAUCACUGCUGAAUUUCUAAAACAUGCAGAUGUCCAUGAGAAGGCAUACCAUGUUAUUCCUACUAUUUCUGGAAGCCACAUAAUGCCAGGGUUCAUUCGUGCUCAUGGAUCUAAUGUUGAUGUCUAUCUGUCCUGCUACCUGAGACCAUGUUGAUGCAAGAGUUCUAUAUUUCCAUCAUGAAGAUUGUUAAUUUCCUGAUCUCAACUACCGUAGUAAACUAUGUUUCUAUCCAUUCUACGUGCUGCCAGCUGAUAACUUGUGGAUUUAAUUGAUCCCUGCUUGUUCUGUUACCCAUAUGGAUGUCCAUGAUUGGAACCAUAAUAGUUUUCAUACUACUUCUGGUAGCAGUGUUGAUGCUCAUGGACGUGUGAACCACUGGACACCAUGUCGAUUUUCAUGAUAUCUGUUGCUACAGGUGAUGAUGUUAAUGUAAGUGAUCCUUGUUGACAAUGUAUACAAUGGUAAUUUCCAAGAUUUAACCAACUUUUGGUAACUAAGUUGAUACACAUUAUUCAUGCUGCUACCUGCAGCCAUACUGAGGUCAUUGAUCACUGAUGCCUGUGCAGACCAUGCUGAUAUUAAUGAAUGGAGCUCCCCUGCAUUCCUAUUGUUUCUGUAAGCCAUGUUGAUGCAGGUCUUCAUUUAUACCAUGGGUUGACAUCUUGUUGGCCAUAAAUUCUCCAGCCCCUUAUGGCUAUGUUAACCUCCAUUUUGACAAUAUGUAGAAUGGUAGUUUCCAAGAUUUAGCAAGCAUCAGUCACUAAGCAGAUAUCCAUAAUUCAUGCUGCAACCUCCAACCAUGCUGAUGUCCUUGACAGCCGUUGCCAAGGUUAACCUUGUUGAGGUCUAUGAAAGCCCCUCCAAUGCAUUCCUCUUGUUUCUGUAAGUCGUGUUGAUACAUGAGGUCCUUGUUACCAUGAGAUAACAUUUUGAUUACCAUGACCUCCUUGGCCCCUUAUGACCAUAUUGAUGGAAGUGUUCUGUGUUGCCAAUAUAAAGAAUGUGAAAUUUUAAGAAUUGAAAUAUCAAACAAAACCAAGUUGAUAUGCGCAGUAUUUGCUGUCACCACCAAACAAAUUGAAUUAAUUUAUCCCUGCUGCAUCUGUUAUAUAUGAGGAUGUCCAUGAGCGGACAUACAAUGCAGUUCCUACUAUUUCUGGAAACCAGGUUGAUGACAGCGUUCUUUCUUGCACAUGGAACUUAUUUUGAUGUCUAUCUGUCCUCCUACCUGACAGCAUGUUGGUACAAGAGUUCUGUCUUUCCAUCAUGAAGAAAAUUAAUUUCUCUGAUCUCAAAUACCAAAGUAAACUGUGUGGCUAUUCAUUCUACAUUCUGCCAACUGAAACCCUGUAGAUAUAAUACAUCGCUACUGCUUCUGUGAACCAAGGGGAUGUCCAUGAUUGGAGGCACAAUGCCAUUCUUAUUACUUCUGGAAGCAAUGUUGAUGCUAAUUAUCUUCUACUACUUGGCACCAUGUUUUUUUUCUAUGAUAUCUCCUGCUACAAGUCACCACCUUAAGUGUUUGUUGUUGCCAGUGUGUAGAAUGGUAAUUUCCAAGAUUUAAUUAACUUUUGGUAGCUAAGUUGAUACACAUAAUUCAUACUGCCACCUGCAGCCAACCUGACGUCAUUGGUCACUGCUGCCUUUGCAAACCAUGUUGAUAUUAGUGAAUAGAGCUCCCAUGCAUUCCUAUUCAUUCUGGAAGCCAUGUUGAUGCAUGUGGUCCUUUUUACCAUGGGAUAACACCUUGAUGACUUUGAUUUCUCCAUCCCCUAUGACCUUAUUAAUGUAAGUAUUCUGUAUUGCCAAUAUGAAGAAUGUAAUUUUCAAGAAUUGAAAUACCAAUAGAAACUAAGAUAAUAACCGAAAGACAUGCCACUACCUCCAAAUAAGUUGAGGUCUUUAAAUCCAGCUGAGUCUUUUCAACAUGUGCAUGUCCAUGAUUGGAACUACAAUACUAUUCCUACUCCUUCUGAAAGCAAUGUUGAUGCUCAUGAUCUUACCACUGGACAACGGGUUGAUUUCCAUGAUCUCUCCUGAUACAAGUGACAAUAUUAAGAUAAGUGUUCCUUUUUGGCAAUAUAUAGAAUGGUAAUUCCCAAGAUUUAAUGAACCUUUGUUAACAAGCUUAUAUCUGUAAGUCAUGCUGCCAACUGCACCCAUGCUGAUGUCAUUGACUGCUGCUGCUUCUGUUAACCCUGUUGAUGUCUAUGAAAGGAAGUGCCAUGCAUUCCUAUUGGUUCUGUAAGCCAUGAUGAUUCAUGUGGUUUUUGUUACCAUGAGAUGACAUCUUUAUUGCCAUGACCUCUCUGGCCCCUUAUGACCAUAUUAAUGUAAAUGUUCUGUGUUGGCAACAAAAAGAAUGUAAAUUUCCAAGAACAAAAAUACCAACUGAAACUAGUUGAUAUCCAGAAUACUUGCUGUCACCUCCAAACAAAUUGAAUUCAUUCAUCCCUGCUACAUCUGUUGAACAUGCGGAUUUCCAUGAGCAGAUAUAUCAUGCUAUUUCUACUAUUUCUUGGAGUCACAUUGAUGCCAGGGUUCUUCUUGCCCAUGGAUCUGAUGUUGAUGUCUAUCUGUCCUGCUUCCUGAGACCAUGUUCAUGCAAGAGAUCUGUCUUUUCAACAUGAAGAAAGUUAAUUUCCCUGAUCUCUAAUAACAUAGCAAACUAUGUGGCUAUCCAUUCAACAUUCUGCCACCUGAAAACUUGUGGAUUUAAUGGAUUCCUGCUGCUUUUGUUACCCAUAUGGAUGUCCAUGUUUGGAAAUAUAAUUCUUACUACUUCUGGUAGCAGUGUUGAUGCUCAUAGUCUUCUAAUCCACUGGACAUCAUGUUGAUAUCCAUGAUCUCUGUUUCUACAGGUGAUUAUGUUAAUGUAGACUUUAAUUGUUGCAAAUGUAUAGAAUGGUAAUUUACAUAAUUUAACCAACUUUGAUGAUAACUGAGUUGGUACACAUAAUUCAUACUAGUACCUGCAGCCAUGCUGAUGUCAUUGAUCACUGAUGCCUUUGCAAACCCUGCUGAUAUUAAUGAAUGGCGCUCCCCUGCAUUUCUAUUGUUUCUGUAAGCCAUGUUGAUGCAGGUGUUCCUUUAUAUCAUGGGUUAACAUAAUGAUUGCCAUAAAUUCCCCAGCCCCUUAUGCCCAUAUUCAGGCAAGUGUUUCUUUUUGGCAAUCUGUAGAAUGGUAAUUACCAAGAUUUAAGAAGCAUUUGUAACUAAGCAGAUAUCCAUAAUUCAUGCUUCCAUCUCCAACCAUGUUGAUGUCACUGAUCUCUGUUGCAACUUUUAACUUUGUUGAUAUCUAUGAAUGCACUUCCAAUGCAUUUCUGUUGUUUCUGUGAGCUAUGUUGAUGAAUGUGGUCUUUGUUACCAUGAGAUAACAUUUUGAUUGCCAUGCCCUCUCUGGCCCUUUAUGUUCAUAUGGAUGGAAGUGUUCUUUGUUGACAACACAGAGACUGUAAAUUUCCAAAAAUUCAAAUAGCAACUGAAUCUAAGUUUGUAUCCAGACUAUUUGCUGUCACCUCCAAACAAUUUGAAUUCUUUCAUCCCUGCUCCAUCUCUUAAACAUGUGGAUGUCCAUGAGCAGACAUACAAUGUUAUUUCUACUAUUUCUGAAACCCACAAUGAUUCAAGGAUUCUUUCUUGCCCAUGGAUCUGAUGUUGAUGUCUAUCUGUCUUCCUACUGGAAAUCAUGUUGGUGGUAUAUCCAUCAUGAAGAAAGUUAAUUUCUCUCAUCUCAACUACCAAAGUAAACUGUGUGGCUAUUCAUUCUAUAUUUUACCACCUGAAACACUGUGGAUAUAAUACAUCCCUAUUGCUUCUGUUAAUUAUAUGGAUGUCCAUGAUUGGAGGCACAAUACCAUUCUUACUACUCCAGAAGCAAUAUUGAUUCUCAUUAUCUUCUUUCCACUGGGUACCAUAUUCAUUUCUAUAAUCUCUCCUGCUACAAGUCACCACCGUAAGGUAAGUGUUUGUUGUUGCCAAUGUAUAGAAUGAUAAUUUCCAAGAUUUAACCAGCUUUUGAUUCACAUUAUUCAUGCUGCCACCUGCCACCAUGCUGAUGUCAUUGAUCACUACUGCAAUUGCAAACCCUGUUGAUAUUAAUGAAUGGAGCUCCCAUGCAUUCCUAUUAGUUCUGUAAGCCAUGUCGUUGCAUGUGGUCAUUUUUACCAAGGGACAACAGCUUGAUUGCUAUGAAUUCUCCAUCCCCUUAACACAUUAUUUAUGUAAGAGUUCUGUUUUGCCAAUAUGAAUAAUGUAAUUUUCAAGAUUCGAAAUACUAACAGAAACUGGGUUAAUAUCUUGAAUUCAUGCUGCUACCUCCAAACAAUUUGAGUUCAUUAAUUCUAGCUGAGUCUAUUAUAAAUGUGCAUGUCCAUGAUUGGAACUACAAUGCUAUCCAUACCUAUGCUUCUUGGAAGCAAUAUUGAUGCUCCUGAUCUUCUUACCACUGGACACAAUGGUGACUUCCCUGAUUUCUCCUGCUUCAAGUGACUAUGUUAAGGUAAGUGUACCUUUUUGGCAAUAUAUAGAAUGGUAAUUACUGAGAUUUAAUGAACCUUUGGUGACGUAGCUGAUACUUGUAAUUCAUGCUGCCACCUGCACCCAUGAUGAUGUCAUUGACUCCUGCUGCCUCUGUUAACCUUGUUGAUGUCUAUGAAAGGACCUGAUAGGAAUUCCUAAUGUUUUGCUAAGCCAUGUUGAUGCAUUUAUUCCUUGUUACCAUGUCAUAACAUCUUGAUUGCCAUGACUUCUCUGGACACCUAUGACCAUAUUGAUGUAUAUGUUCUGUGUUGCCAACAUAAAGAAUGUAAAUUUCCAAGAAGAAAAAUACCAACAGAAACUAAGUUGACAUUUGGAAUAAUUGUCACCUCAAAAAACGUUGCAUUCAUUCAUCCCUUUUGCAUCUGUUAAACAUGCGGAUGUCCAUGAGAAGACAUACCAUGCUAUUCCUACUAUUUCUGGAAGCUAUGUUGAUGCCAGGAUUCUUUCUUGCCCAUGGAUCUGAUGUUGAUGUCCAUAUGUCCUCCUACCUGAGGCCAUGUUGAUGCAAGUGUUCUGUCUUUUCAACAAAAAAGAAUGUUAAUUUCCCUAGUUUCAACUCCCAUAGUAUACUAUGUGGCUAUCCAUUCAACAUUCUACCACCUGAAAUCUUGUGGAUUCAAUUGUUCCAUGCUGCUUCCAAUGUCCAUAUGAAUGUCCGUGAGUGGAACUAUAAUGCUUUUCCUACUACAUAUGGUAGCAGUGUUGAUGCUCAUGGUCUUGUAAACCACUGGACACCAUGUUGAUUUUCAUGAUAUCCGUUGCUACAGGUGAUGAUGUUAAUGUAAGUGCUAUUUGUUGCCAAUGUAUAGAAUGAAAAUUUCCAAGAUUUAACCAAAUUUUGUUAACUAGUAGAUACACAUAAUUCAUGCUGCCACCUGCAGUCAUGCUGAUGUCAUUGAUCACUGCUGCCUUUGCAAACCCCGCUGACAUUAAUGAAUGGAGCUCCCCUGCAUUCCUAUUGGUUCUGUAAGCCUUGUUGAUACAGGUGGUCCUUUAUACCAUGAGUUAAUAUCUUGAUUGCCAUAAAUUCUCAAUCCCCUUAUGGCCAUAUUAAGGCAAGGGUUUUUGUUUGGCAAUGUGUAGAAUGGUAAUCUUCAAGAUUUAAUAAGAAUUGGCAACUAAGCAGAUAUCCCUAAUUCAUGCUACCAUCUAAUACCAUGCUGAUAUCCUUGACACCCGUUGCCACUGUUAAUAAUGUUGCUGUCUAUGAAUGCACCUCCAAUGCAUUCCUAUUGGUUCUGUAAGCCAUGUUGAUGAGUGUGGUCAUUAUUACUGUUGGAUAACACCUUGAUUGCUUGAAUUCUCCAUCCCCUUAUCACCAUAUUGAUGGAAGUGUUCUGUGUUACUCAUAUGAAGAAAGUAAUAUCCAAGAAUUGAAAUACUAACAGAAACUAAGUUAGUAUCCUGAUUGCAUGCUGCUAACUCCAAACAAGUUGAGGUCUUUAAACCCAGCUGAGUCUCUUAAACAUAUGCAUGUCCAUGAUUGGAACUACAAUGCUAUUCCUACUCCUUCUGGAAGCAAUGUUGAUGCUCAUGAUCUUCUAACCACUGGACACCAUGGUGACUUCCAAGAUCUCUCCUGAUAUAAGUGACCGUAUUAAGGUAAGUGUACAUUUAUGGCAAUAUAUACAAUGAUAAUUUCAGGGUGAUUUAAUGAACUUUUGUUACCUAGGCUAAUAUCUGUAUUUCAUGCUGCCACCUGUACCCAUGCUGAUGUCUUUGACUGCUGCUGCCUCUGUUAACCUUCUUGAUGUCUAUGAAAGGGCCUGACAGGAAUUCCUAUUGUUUGUGUAAGCCAUGUUGAUGCAUAUGAUCCUUGUUACUGAGGGAUUGCAUCUUGAUUGCCAAGCCCUCUCUGGCCCUAUAUGACCAUAUUAAUGUAAGUGUUUUGUAUUGCCAACAUAAAGAAUGUAAAUUCCGAAAAACAAAAUUACCAACAGAAACUAAGUGGAUAUCCGGAAUACUUGCUGUAACCUCCAAACAAUUUGAAUUCAUUCAUCCUUGCUGCAUCUUUUAAGCAUGCGAAUAUCUAUGAGCAGAUAUAUCAUGCUAUUCCUACUAUUUCUGGAAGUCACAUUGAUGCCAGGGUUUUCUCUUGCCCAUGGGUCUGAUAUUUAUGUCUGUUUGUCCUACUACCUGAGAACAUAUUGAUGCAAGAGAUCUGUCUUUCCAACAUGAAGAAUGUUAAUUUCCCUGAUCUCAACUACCAUAGUAAACUAUGUGGCUAUCCAUUCUACGUGCUGCCACACGAUAUCUUGUGCAUUUACCUGAUCCCUGCUGCUUCCAUGACCCAUAUGGAUAACCAUGAUUGGAACUAUAAUGCUUUUCCUACUACUUCUGGUAGCAGUGUUGAUGCUCAUGGUCUAAUAAACCACCGGACACCAUGGUAAUUUCCAUGAUUUAACCAAGUUUGGUAACUGAGUUGGUACACAUAAUUCAUACUAUCACCUGCAGCCAUGCUGAUGUCAUUGAUCACUGAUGCCUUUGCAAACCCUGCUGAUAUUAAUGAAUGGAGCUCCCAUGCAUUCCUAUUGUUUCUGUAAGCCAUGUUGAUGCAGGUCUUCCUUUAUAACAUGGGUUAACAUCUUGAUUGCCUAAAUUCUCUAGCCCAUUAUGACCAUAUUAAAGCAAGGGUUCCUUUUUGGCAAUGUGUAGAAUGGUAAUUUCCAAGAUUUAACAAACAUUCUUUACUAAGCAGAUAUCCAUAAUUCAUGCUUCCAUCUCCAACCAUGCUGAUGUCAUUGAUCCCUGUUGCCACUGUUAACCCUGUUGAUGUCUAUGAAUGCACCUGCAAUGCAUUACUGUUGGUUCUGUAAACCGUGUUGAUGCAUGUGGUCCUUGUUACCAUGGGAUAACAUCUUGAUUGCCAUGACCUGUCUGGCCCCUUAUGACCUUUUUGAUGUAAGUGUUCUGUUUUGCUAAGAAUUCAAAUACCAACUGAAACUAACUUGAUAUCUGGAUUAUUUGCUGUCACCUCCAAACAAAUCGAAUUCAUUUAUUCCAGCUGCAUGUGUUAAACAUGUAGAUGUCCAUGAGCAGACAUACCAUGCCAUUCCUUCUAUUUCUGGAAGCCACAUUGAUGCCAGGAUUCUCUCUUGCCCCUGGAUCUGAUGUUGAUGUCUAUCUGUCCUCCUACCUGACAUCAUGUUGGUGCACGAAUUCUGUCUUUCCAUCAUGAAGAAAGUUAAUUUUCUAAUCUCAACUACCAAAGUAAACUGUGUGGCUAUCCAUUCUACAUUUUCCACCUGAAACACUGUUAACCAUGUGAAUGAUCAUGAUUGGAGGCACAAUUGCAUUUUACUAUUCCAGAAACAAUAUUGAUGCUCAUUAUCUUGUUGCCACUGGGCAACAUGUUGAUUUCUAUGAUCUCUCCUCCUACAAGUCACCACCUUAAGGUUGAUUUCCAUGAUCUCUCCUCUUACAAAUGAAAAUAUUAAGGUAAGUGUCUUUUUUGUCAAUAUAUAGAAUGGUAAUUCCUACGAUUUAAUGAACCUUUGGUAAUGUAGCUGAUAUCUGUAAUUCAUGCUGCCACCUGCACCCAUGCUGAUGUCAUUUACCAUUGUUGCCUCUGUUAAUCUUUUUGAUUUCUAUGAAAGGGCCUGACAGGAAUUCCUAUUGUUUGUGUAAGCCAUGUUGAUUCAUAUUGUCCUAGUUACUGUGGGAUAACAUUGUGAUUGCCAUGACCUCUCUGGCCCCUUGUGACCAUAUUCCUGGAAGUGUUCUGUGUUUCCAGCAUGAAGAAUGUAAAUUUCCAAGUACAAAAAUAGCAACUGAAACUAAUUUGAUAUCUGGAAUACUUGUUGUCACCUCCAAACAAAUUAAAUCUUUCAUCCCUGCUGCAUCUUUUAAUCAUGCAGAUGUCCAUGAGCAGACAUACUAUACUAUUCCUACUAUUUCUGGAAUCCAUGUUGAUGCCAGGGUUCUUUUUGCCCAUGGAUCUGAUAUUGAUGUCUAUCUGUCCUCCUACCUGAUAUCAUGUUGAUGUAAGAGUUCUGUCUUUCUAACAUGAAGAAUGUUAAUUUCCCUGAUCUCAACUACCAUAGUAAACUAUGUGGCUAUCCAUUCAACAUGCUACCACCUGAAACCUUGUGGAUUUUAUUGAUCCAUGCUGCUUUUGAUACCCAUAUACAUGUCCAUGAUUGGAACUAUAAUGCAUUUUCUAAUACUUCUGGUAUCAGAUUGAUGCUCAUGGUCUUGUUAACCACUGGAUGUCAUAUGGAUUUCCAUGAUCUCUGUUUCUACAGGUGAUGAAGCUAAUAUAAGUGUUCCUUGUUGCCAAUGUAUAGAAUGAUAAUUUCCAAGAUUUAACCAACUUUUGGUAACUAAGUUAUGCUGCCAACUGCAGCCAUGCUGAUGUCAUUGAUCACUACUACUUUUGCAAACCCUGCUUAUAAUAAUGAAUGGAGCUCCCCUGCAAUCCUAUUGGUUUUAUAAGCCAUGUUGAUGCAGGUGGUCCUUUAUACAAUGGGUUAAUAUCAUCUUUGCCAUAAAUUCACAAGCCCCUUAUGGCCAUAUUAAGGCAAGUGGUCCUUUUUGACAUUGUGUAAAAUGGUAAUUUCCAAGAUUUAACAAGCAUCAGUAACUAAGCAGAUAUCCCUAAUUCAUGCUACAACCUACAAACAUGUGGAUGUCAUUGGUCCCUGUUGCCAAUAUUAACCCUUUUGUUGUCUAUGAAUGUACAUCCAAUGCAUUCCUAUUGAUUCUGUAAGCCACGUUGAUGCAUGUGGUCCUUAUUACCAUGGGAUAACACCUCCAUUGCUUUCAAUUCUCCAUUCCCUUAUCACCUUAUUUGUGUAAGUAUUCUGUGUUGCACAUAUAAUGAAUGUAAUUUCCAAGAAUUGAUCUACUAACAGAAACUAAGUUAAUAUCCUGAAUACAUGAUGUUACCUCCAAACAAGUUGAGGUCUUUAAAUCCAGCUGAGUCUCUUAAACAUGUGCAUAUCCAUGGUUGGAAGGGCAAUGCUAUUCUUACUCCUUCUGGGAGCAAUGUUGAUGUUCAUGAUCUUACCACUGGGCACCAGGUUGAUUUCUAUGAUCUCUUCUGCUACAAGUCAUCAUGUAAGGUAAGUGUACCUUUUUGGCAAUAUAUAGAAUAGUAAUUCCCCAGAUUUAAUGAACCUUUGUUAAGUUAGCUGAUAUCUGUAAUUCAUGCUGCCACCUGCACCCAUGCUGAUGUCAUUGACUCCUGCUGCCUCUGUUAACCUUGAUAAUGUUUAUGAAACUACCUGUCUUACAUUGCUAUUGUUUUGUAAG